rnacentral:pre_miRNA from 7 species
GUCUAGGACCCCUGGGUGGUCGUGCAGAUCCCGGACAAGCCCCCAAAUGAAGGACCCCCCCCCCCCAAGAGAGACCCUCACUCAAGUCUUCGGAAUAGCGCACACCCAGCGAGACACUGAGACCG